rnacentral:rRNA from 1 species
CAGCCGCCGCGGUAAUACGUAGGUGGCAAGCGUUGUCCGGAAUUAUUGGGCGUAAAGCGCGCGCAGGCGGAUCAGUUAGUCUGUCUUAAAAGUUCGGGGCUUAACCCCGUGAGGGGAUGGAAACUGCUGAUCUAGAGUAUCGGAGAGGAAAGUGGAAUUCCUAGUGUAGCGGUGAAAUGCGUAGAUAUUAGGAAGAACACCAGUGGCGAAGGCGACUUUCUGGACGAAAACUGACGCUGAGGCGCGAAAGCCAGGGGAGCGAACGGGAUUAGAUACCGUGUAGUCCCUGUCUCUUAUACAC